ACGCAGUUUACGUGGAUUUCCUAUACGAAAAAAUGAAUUACAAAAUUGCUGAUAUUUGGUUGUUGAUAUCCCACAUUCUUUGGUGGAAGUUUUCCAUUAACCUUUUCACCAAUUUCAACAAUCUCACCACCGCAAAGAAAACACAGAGCUUCAACAAUAAACAGAAUAUGUUUCGUGUAUGUUUCCCCCUCAAAGUGUAUUUUGUCUACUGGUUUAUGGGUCGUUUUCAAAACUACACGUUAUUUCGUGGCAUUUUUUGACGAAACAACUAUAACAUACAAAUAGGAAGGAAACUAAAGCAGAUACAAUGGACGUUCUUAGUCAAACUUCUGCAUCAAACCAUGUGGUAUCGAUCGCACUACCCGUCGUGGUUUUUGGCCUUCUCAACCAGAACUCAAAUGCUGGGGGAAAAGAUGAUACGGCCAAUGAACGAUUGUCAUUACCAAACUGAACUGCAAGCGAAAAAUGUCUUCAGGCAGGUACAGUGAAAUAAUUAUUGUAUUUUCAAUUAGGUUACUUCAAAUAAAUAUAUUUCAAUAAAUGGAAACAAUUGAAUUAUAUGCUGUUCAAAAUUAAUUGAAAACACCUGAAUUAAACUGGCAAUAAUUACUAGUAAUACACAUACAUUGUGCGUUAGGUUUCAUGUAGUCGCUAUGUUUGGCUUCAUGUAAAUAUUACGUUUGAGUUUGUAGUUGUUACGUUUGGCUUCAUGUUAUUUUUGCGUGAAAUUCAUUUGAAAAUUAUGCGACAAUCACAUAACGUUUACAUGAUGCAUCAGAUAUUGAAGCUGAUUCAAAUAUACCGGACCACCCGAUAGAAUUUAUGUGAAAAGUGCGGUGGAUGAGAUCUAUAUAAGUUUUCAUGUAAUAGCUACGUGAUUUAUUUUUUGAGUGUAUGCAUGGUACAUAUUUUUUUCCUGAUACAUGUAAGUAAGAAAAGCAAAUCAAAAGCAUUACAAUUCUUUUACUAAAUGUAAAAUUUCUAUUUCCACAGACUUACAACGGUCACAACAUACAGGCCAGUUGGGGUGCUAGUGCUACAAUUGUACUGACGUAAAGGAUGAUCUCUGCAACAACCCUGAAAUGUUGAAAGUUGUAUGGCAACUGAUUCUGUAAGUUUUAGAACGGUUUUAUUAUAAAUAAAAAUUAAACCCUUGC